CCUCAUGGGCGGAGCCUGAUGCAGCGACGCCGCGUGAGGGAUGACGGCCUUCGGGUUGUAAACCUCUUUCAGCACUGAAGAAGCGAGAGUGACGGUACGUGCAGAAGAAGCGCCGGCUAACUACGUGCCAGCAGCCGCGGUAAUACGUAGGGCGCAAGCGUUGUCCGGAAUUAUUGGGCGUAAAGAGCUCGUACGCGGUUUGUCGCGUCUGCUGUGAAAGCCCGGGGCUUAACCCCGGGUGUGCAGGGGGUACGGGCAGACUUGAGUGCAGUAGGGGAGACUGGAAUUCCUGGUGUAGCGGUGAAAUGCGCAGAUAUCAGGAGGAACACCG
rnacentral:rRNA from 1 species